AGCUAGGCUAAAUCCUAGAAUUUUGAAUUUCUGUAGCAAAUUCAUCACUAAAAAUACCUUUUUCUCGUUACAGGUGAAGAAGCUUGGUAUUGUUGCAGUGAGCAAUGCUUUGCUACAAGACAUUACUUGUUUGGCAGCAGACCGAAUGUUGAUAUUUGCUUCGUAUGGCAAUGUUUUCCAUGCUAUUGCCAGGAACAAAGAGGUAGUACAUACCUAUGAAGGUCACAAGGCAAGAAUACACCUUCUGCAGCCUUUUGGUGAUCAUGUUAUCUCUGUGGAUGUUGCUAAUGUUCUUAUUGUUUGGGAUGUACAAACAGAAGGUGAGAGACAAUUUUUAUUAUUGUU